rnacentral:rRNA from 1 species
UACGGGGGGGGCAAGCGUUGUUCGGAAUUACUGGGCGUAAAGGGCUCGUAGGCGGCCAACUAAGUCAGACGUGAAAUCCCUCGGCUUAACCGGGGGAACUGCGUCUGAUACUGGAUGGCUUGAGUUUGGGAGAGGGACGCGGAAUUCCAGGUGUAGCGGUGAAAUGCGUAGAUAUCUGGAGGAACACCGGUGGCGAAGGCGGCGUCCUGGACCAACACUGACACUGAGGAGCGAAAGCCAGGGGAGCAAACGGG